CAGCAGCCGCGGGAAAACGAAGGGUGCAAGCGUUACCCGGAAUUACUGGGCGUAAAGCGUGCGUAGGUGGUGGUUUAAGUCCGUUGUGAAAGCCCUGGGCUCAACCUGGGAAUUGCAGUGGAUACUGGGUCACUAGAGUGUGGUAGAGGAUAGUGGAAUUUCCGGUGCAGCAGUGAAAUGCGUAGAGAUCGGAAGGAACAUCUGUGGCGAAGGCGACUAUCUGGGCCAACACUGACACUGAGGCACGAAAGCGUGGGGAGCAAACAGGAUUAGAUACCCGUGUAGUCCCUGUCUCUUAUAC
rnacentral:rRNA from 1 species